rnacentral:rRNA from 1 species
AUUGAACGCUGGCGGUAUGCUUAACACAUGCAAGUCGAACGGCAGCGCGCCAAGUUUUUCCGGGCAACUGGAGAAACCGGUGGCGGCGAGUGGCGGACGGGUGAGUAACGCGUAGGAAUCUACUCCAAAGCGGGGGACAACCUGAGGAAACUCGGGCUAAUACCGCAUAUGUUCUACGGAAUAAAGCUGGGGACUGCUUCGGCAGCCUGGCACUUUGGAAUGAGCCUGCGUCAGAUUAGCUUGUUGGUAGGGUAAUGGCCUACCAAGGCAACGAUCUGUAGCUGGUCUGAGAGGACGAUCAGCCACACUGGGACUGAGACACGGCCCAGACUCCUACGGGAGGCAGCAGUGGGGAAUAUUGGACAAUGGGCGAAAGCCUGAUCCAGCAAUACCGCGUGUGUGAAGAAGGCCUUCGGGUUGUAAAGCACUUUCAGUAGAGACGAAAUGCUCAAGGUUAAUACCCUUGAGAGCUGACUUAACCUACAAAAGAAGCACCGGCUAACUCUGUGCCAGCCGCCGCCGUAACAC